UUCUUUCUUAUUCUCUCCUAUCUCCUCUGAGUCCUCUCUAUCUCUAUCUCUAUCUUUCUUCUCUUUCCUUCCAGAUGCUCUCUUCUCUCUCUUCUGUGCUCCCACACUUGCAUCUCCAUUCUUCGCUUGUCCUUGAACUCACCCAAACUAUCAAUCCAUCAUCCAAUGAAUUGUCCGUGAAGGGGAUCAAGGGGUGUCUCAAUCCUCUACCGUCGGCUUGCAUCGGCGACAUAGUGAUGGCCACCGUGAAGAAGGAAAAGCCGAAUCUGAGGAAGAAGGAUGGCCGCCACGAUGGUUAAACCGGAUCGGAAGAAGCUCAACUAGAUCGACCUCAUCAGAAUCUAGUUUCAGUGACUCAAUUUUUUAUGGGUUUAUGCCUAUCAACUCAAAUCAAGAUCCCCAAUUUCAUCAAUGUGAAAUUGGAAUUCGUAGAGGUUGCUCAAAGCCUAGCUUGUGGAACUCCUCAUAUGAUCAGUGCUACGAUUGAAGGCCUUGCUCAGUUGGCUUAUGAGUUUUCUGACCUUGUUUUCAACUCCAUUUAUAAUUUCUUUUAGAUCUGAACAAUUGUUUAUUGGGCCAAAGUAAACAUUAAGUUUUCAAGUCAAAACCAAUCUCCAUU